rnacentral:rRNA from 1 species
UACGUAGGGGGCGAGCGUUGUCCGGAAUCAUUGGGCGUAAAGCGCGUGUAGGCGGCUCGGUAAGUCCGCUCUGAAAGUCCGGGGCUCAACCCCGGGAGGCGGGUGGAUACUGCCGGGCUAGAGUCCGGAAGAGGCGAGUGGAAUUCCUGGUGUAGCGGUGAAAUGCGCAGAUAUCAGGAGGAACACCGAUGGCGAAGGCAGCUCGCUGGGACGGUACUGACGCUGAGGCGCGAAAGCGUGGGGAGCAAACAGG